rnacentral:rRNA from 1 species
CUUGUUGGUGAGGUAAUGGCUCACCAAGGCGACGACGGGUAGCCGGCCUGAGAGGGCGACCGGCCACACUGGGACUGAGACACGGCCCAGACUCCUACGGGAGGCAGCAGUGGGGAAUAUUGCACAAUGGGCGAAAGCCUGAUGCAGCGACGCCGCGUGAGGGAUGACGGCCUUCGGGUUGUAAACCUCUUUCAGCAGGGAAGAAGCGAAAGUGACGGUACCUGCAGAAGAAGCGCCGGCUAACUACGUGCCAGCAGCCGCGGUAAUACGUAGGGCGCAAGCGUUGUUCGGAAUUAUUGGGCGUAAAGAGCUCGUAGGCGGUCUGUCGCGUCGGAUGUGAAAGCCCGGGGCUUAACCCCGGGUCUGCAUUCGAUACGGGCAGACUAGAGUGUGGUAGGGGAGAUCGGAAUUCCUGGUGUAGCGGUGAAAUGCGCAGAUAUCAGGAGGAACACCGGUGGCGAAGGCGGAUCUCUGGGCCAUUACUGACGCUGAGGAGCGAAAGCGUGGGGAGCGAACAGGAUUAGAUACCCUGGUAGUCCACGCCGUAAACGGUGGGAACUAGGUGUUGGCGACAUUCCACGUCGUCGGUGCCGCAGCUAACGCAUUAAGUUCCCCGCCUGGGGAGUACGG